UACGGAGGGUGCAAGCGUUAUCCGGAUUCACUGGGUUUAAAGGGUGCGUAGGUGGGUUGGUAAGUCAGUGGUGAAAUCCCCGAGCUUAACUUGGGAACUGCCAUUGAUGCUAUUAAUCUUGAAUAUUGUGGAGGUCAGCGGAAUAUGUCAUGUAGCGGUGAAAUGCUUAGAGAUGACAUAGAACACCAAUUGCGCAGGCAGCUGGCUACGCAUAUAUUGACACUGAGGCACGAAAGCGUGGGGAUCAAACAGG
rnacentral:rRNA from 1 species